rnacentral:rRNA from 1 species
AUUGAACGCUGGCGGCAUGCUUUACACAUGCAAGUCGAACGGCAGCGCGGGCUUCGGCCUGGCGGCGAGUGGCGAACGGGUGAGUAAUGCAUCGGAACGUGCCCAGUAGUGGGGGAUAGCCCGGCGAAAGCCGGAUUAAUACCGCAUACGACCUGAGGGUGAAAGCGGGGGACCGAAAGGCCUCGCGCUAUUGGAGCGGCCGAUGUCGGAUUAGCUAGUUGGUGGGGUAAAGGCUUACCAAGGCGACGAUCCGUAGCUGGUCUGAGAGGACGACCAGCCACACUGGGACUGAGACACGGCCCAGACUCCUACGGGAGGCAGCAGUGGGGAAUUUUGGACAAUGGGGGCAACCCUGAUCCAGCCAUGCCGCGUGCGGGAAGAAGGCCUGCGGGUUGUAAACCGCUUUUGUUCGGGAAGAAAUCCUCUGGGCUAAUACCCCGGGGGGACGACGGUACCGGAAGAAUAAGCACCGGCUAACUACGU